CCUCCUCCUCUCCUCCCCUCCUCCUCUUCCUCCAUCUUAUUCCUCUGGGAUUUCCAUAAUGUGUGUAUUGGUACAUUUGAUGACGUCUAAAGUCCCUUAAGCUAUCUUCACUCUUUUCAUUACUUUUUCUUUUGACUCCUCUGACUAGAUGAUUUCCACUGACCUAUUUUCAAGUUCAUUGAUCCUUUAUUCUACUUGAUCUAGUCUCCUAUUGAACACCACUAUUGAAUUUUUCAGUUCAGUUAUUGUAUUCUUUAGCUCUAUGAUUUGUAUUUGGUACUUACCAUUUUUUCUUUGCUGAAAUUCUCACUUUGUUCAUGCAUUGCUCUCAACUUCAGUGAGCAUCUUAAUGACCAGGAAGGUCAUUUGAUUUUCUCCUUUUAUUUUAAUGUAAUGAGGAUCUUGAAAACCAGGUAAUACUCCUGCUUUGUAGGAAGUGGGUUGCAGAAAGUCCUUUCAUUGCAUUGUGACUCUGAGGUACCUACUGGGAAAAGGGUCUUCAAUUUCAUCCUUUCAGUGAGUGUGGAAAAUGAGUGUGACUGUGUUCCAUUGAUGAAGGAAGCCCAGAAAAAUCUUAUUUUUCAUCAGGCUAAGACCCUAUCUGUCGCCAAAUUUUUCUUUCCUGAUACUUAGAGGAAGAGAGAUCAGCAACCUGAGAUAACUUUUCUUCUUACCUCCAUAGGAUUCCUGAUCUGACCCAAAGACCUGUAUGUGCCCUGGAACAAGUAUUUUUCUAAGUUUCCUCAGUCCCAGAGGCUGGUUCUUGGACAGACCUCAGCCUCCCAAGAGGAUGAAACUAGUUUCUACAGUUGUUCUCUUUAAUUCCAUGCACACUUUCUCUCAGGGGGGCCCUAUCCAAGUUCCCUUUUUAUAGUUCCAUAGGUAAUAAAAAGCCAGUGUUAUUGUCUGUUUUCUCUUAAGAAUAUGCGCACCAAAUCAUCUCUGCCAUUGCUUUUUUUGAGGAUAUUGGUAAGCAGUAGGAGUUAAUGAAGAAGUUCAUUAUUGUGUAUACAUAAGGCAAGAAGGGAAACAUGGAAAGGGGAUAUCCUAACUAUUGGGAAAGGCGACAAAUUGGACAUGGACCACCUCUGAAUUCACACUCUAUCUUUGCACUGUCCCAUAUUUAUGUUUUCUACCUUCAUCCCUGUAGAUCUGAGACCAUCCUUAGUUAUUCAAGGAUGAGCCCACAGUGAAUUUUGUGUUACACAACCUAUACUCAUGCAGCACUGAUUCAACAUGAUUGCCAAAAGCAUAUUUUACCAUUACCAUUCAGAAAUCAAAUUAAAAUCAGAAUUUUAAAUUAGAAAUAUAAUGUAAUAAACUUAAGCCCUUUUCUUUGCAUACCGUGAUAAAUAGUCCUUGACCAAACAAGGCUUAGCCUCUUUAAUGCAACAACUUAUCAAGGAUACAGAUUUAUCCUUUAAAUAAGUCUGUAAUCAUCAGAUCGCCUAGGCCUCCUGUCCUAGUAAUUCACGCGUGUUAAAAUGCUCAAACCAAUAGACGCAGUUCUCUUUUUUAAACAUAGACCUCCUUUUACAAUCCAAAAUGAUUAUGGGUUUUCUGUUUCAUAUGAAAUUAUCCUGAAGGUCAAGAUAGGGUCUAAGUGUUCCUUCUUGCCUCAAAUAUGGAGUAUUAGCUCCUGAGGCACAUACUGAGCUCUCAGAAGAUCUCGGACCCACCAAGGUGGAACCUCCUCUCUCCCUGGCUCCUUACAAGGGUCUCCGGCAUCUUGUUAGCCCCCGGGCCCCUGCCGCCUCUCAGUUCCCACUGCCUGUUCCUCUCACGCUGCUCCCUUCCCAUCAUGCCCUGCAUGGGACCAGCUUCUCCCAUUUCUAAGAGAGGUGGAGGCUGAAAGUGCAGACCUGCGUGUUACUGACCCCGGAGUGCUUGCUGGGGUCUGUAGAAAGGAUGGGAUCAUUCAGUGAGGAAGCCCAGGAAGACGGCCCCGGGCAUGGUGAACCAACCGCGACUCCUAUAACCCGUUAUGUGAGUGCAUUGCUUCGUUUAAUCCUCAUAACUCAGGGAUAAGGACACGGUUUUUCUUUUCCUUAUCUACUCCAGGUGUAUCUGCAGUGGCCACUGUGAUCCAGACAGCAAGGAGAAAAUGAGGCAGCGCAGGGCAGGGCAGGGCGGAGCUCUGAAUCCAGGUCUUAUUUCCCUAUCUGGUGGAGGGAGAGGAGGCAGAAGUGAAAUGGCUCAGUGGGGCUCAGCCGACCAGAAAACACCAGCAGGGACAUCCCGGUGUCUGGGACAGAGGCUAGAACUGACAUGCCCCAGAAAGUCCCAACCUGUGUGGGGUUCAGGGAUAAGAGGAAGAAAACCAAAAUGGAGACAUCAUAAUCACUUUCCUGGGAUCAAUGGAAAUAUCUUUGAAAUUGAUCCUUGAGCAUUUUUUAUUUGUAGUGACUUCUGUGAAUGGAUAAUUUUCUUCAUUAUUUCGUGUUGAUUUUUUGUAUCAUAUAGGAAUUCACUGAUUGUUAUUAAGUAAUGAUAUAUUUUACCCUUUCAUUCCUUUGAUAUUUUUGGAAGUCUGAUAAUAAUUUGAUGGUUCCAGAUAUGUAAUCAGAAUGCAAAAAUAUUAUUCUACUCCUAAUUAUUACUAUUUUUAUUUCUUCUUGAAAUUUUUAUCUUCUUUAUAUGAGAUUUCUCUGAUACUUUACCACUCUGUAAAAUUAACUCUCUGCUUUGUAAAGUCUUUUUCUUUUAUAAAUUUGUCAUUUUCUUGGGGCGCCUGGUGGCUCAGUCCAUUAAGCAUCUGACUCUUGGUCUUGGUUUCAGCUCAGGUCAUGCUCUCACAGUUCGUGAGUUUGAGUCCAUCAGGCUCUGGGCUAACAGCACAGAACCCACUUCAGAUCCUCUGUCUCCUUCUCUCUGAGCCUCCCCUACUCGUGCUCUCCCUCCCUCUCUCUCUCUCUCUCUCUCUUUCUUUCUCUCAAAAAAUAAAUAAACCUUAAAGAAAUUGUCAUAUUUUUAUAAAUUUGUGUAGAACUAUAGUAAACGCCUCUGGUACUUAAUAACAAAAUGAUAGAACUUAUAUUGUUAAAAUUGUUUUGUAUUUACUCAACUAUUUCUCUGUUUUGAAUUAGCCUUACACUAUAAUAAUGAACAUUUUUUGAUUCCUCACUAUGUGCAAGGCUCUGUUUCAAGAGAUUCACAAAUACUGAAUAUUAUCCCAGUUAGAUUUCCCAAUAAACCAAUGACAUAGGCUCCAUAAUAAUCUCCAUUCUACAUGAGAGGAAACUAGUCACAAUGGGUUAAAAAAAAAAAUGAGGAACACAUAUCAGGAACCACAUAUAAAUUUGUUUGUAGGGGAUCAUUUGGUGUUUAAAACUUCACUACCACCCCCCAAAAAUAUUGAAAUGCAAAGAAAAGAUGAACCCUGGGGUUUAACAGUAGGGAGUCCAAUCCCUCUAGAUCUUCAACACAUUGUUUAAGAUUUGCUCCAUCCCAAAACACAUCCAGGCAAGGGGGAUGGUGUUCACCAUGAAGGGGGAAUGACAUUCCUUGGGAUCUGUUCCUAGGAAGAAAAUAUAUAAAACAAUCAAGCCUUAUGACUCAGCCAGUUGCUCAAAAUGAGAAUCUCUCUCCUUAUGUUGUCUUCAGUGAAUCUUACACCGUAAAGAAUCAUGUGCUUUACCACAAACUUCUGUCUGGUGAGUGACAAUUCCUGCUUAUUGGUUCCUUUUUCAGAAUCUGACCACAGCCAGGCAAUACAGAAGGCUGCCCAGGCUCAUCAUCUCUAAUAUUUUAAUAUAGCAUAUGCUAUAUUAAUAUAUUUUAGGAGUGAGGCUUAUUGAGUGAGAGCUGCUCUGACUGCAAGCCUCUCAGCCCCUGUCCUUUCCCAGGCUCCAGGAUAGCGGUCCUGAGGAUCACUGGGGCCCCAGGGAUGGCAACUUGAUGUCCUUGGUGAUGCUGAGCUCCCCUUUGGUUCAGAGCAGAAACACCCCAGCACUUCAGGAGAAGGCGGUCUUCCCAGCAGAUGUUGCAGACCAGUGAGAAGUCAAAGGGCACCGUGAGGAGAUGGCAUUUCACUCUCCUGCUCUCGUCAGCCCACGUGCUCUGAAACUCCUGAGACAGUGAGGCCCAGCAACGAGAUGAUGAAAGUUGAAGGAGGUAGGAGUGGGCUGCUCUUUAAAGGGUCACCAAUAACCCUUCAAUACCGGCCCGGUGGAUACUUACCAUACCUGCCAGAUGAUAAACACGUAGCAUCAUUAGCUACUUCCUCCUUCCUGGAACUUCUGCUCCCUUGCCUUAGGCGAUGAAAUAUUCUUCUAACUUUCCUGCCACUCUGCUUCUUUGGAGUCUCUCUGAACACUUCUCUUUCUUACAUUUUAUAUAAUGAAAAUAAGAGAGGCGGUACUGAUGUACAAAUCACAGGGUGUCUAGUUUUCACUCGUGCUACAUGUCCAGUGUGCCAGGAGGGUAGCUCUGCUAAUUGUAGUUGCUCAGGGAGAUGGGUUGAGAGACCUUCUUCGACACCUGCCCCCAUAAGUUCCCAAGCAGAGUAAAGGGCCCUAAUGAAUCAUACACUGGCUCUUAAUGAUCCCUCCCAGAAAUAACAUGUCACUUCUCACAUUUUGUUAUCCAAAGUAAAUCACAUGGCUGUAUCUAAUUUCAAAAGAGUUGGAAUCUUUGGCGGUAACAAAGUACUCAAUAAGUACACAUUAAAUAAAUAAUAUAUUACUCACUUAUACCAGACACCUGUAUUGAGGACCUACUUUGUAUAAGGAACUAUGCUAGGCUUUGUGAGUAAAAGGAGCUUCCAGCUCCUAAAAGGUUUACAAAUUACCUACUGACCUAAGGGCCUCUGGGGUAUUGGCAAUGUUCUAUUUCUUGACAAAAGUAGUAGCUACAUGGGUGUUUGCUUGAUAAUCAUUGGCUGUGCCUUACUGUUUUGUGUAUUUCUUACAUAUGUCUGCCGGUUCACAAGAAAAGGUUUUAAAAAGAGAGGCAAAGGAGAAUAUUCGUAAUUUGAGGCAAAAACAAGAAAUCAAUAAAUCAAGCAGAAAAACUGAGUUUUAAGAAUGGUUGGAAUAAAGAAUAUUUGCAUGAAACAACUAUUGUCAUGUCCACAACUGGAGAAUAAUUAAUAAAGAAGAGGCCCAACAGAGGAAUGCUCUCGAGGGCAAUAUGAAAAAUUAAACAAUAGGAAAUAUAAAAGAAAAGCUAUGAGACAUGAAGGAUAGAAACUAACAUUCUGGCAUUUGGAUAAUUAGACACCUAGAAAGUGGAGAAAAUAGUAAAAAAAGAUGAAAAGAUUUCCAGGCUUUAUAGAAAGAUGAAAUAGCUUUGACAUGGUGCAUUGAUGACAAAUAGAUUUUUUAAAAACAUCUCUUUUAAAAACAUAUCUAAUAACAUUAUAAGAAAAUUGUAAGAACUUCAAAGACAAAAAGAAAAUUCUCAACAUUUGCAGAGAGAGCAGUUGCACCUAUAAAAGAACAAGAGCAGCGGUGCCUGGGUGGCUCAGUCAGUUAAGCAUCUGACUUUGGCUCAGGUCAUGAUCUUACAGUCUUUGGGUUGAGCCCUGUGUCAGGCUCUGUGCUGACAGUUCAGAGCCUGGAACCUGCUUCAGAUUCUGUGUCCCUCUCUCACUCUGCCCCUUCCCCACUCAUGCUCUGUCUGUCUGUCUGUCUGUCUCUGUCUCAAGAAUAAACAUUUAAAACAAUUUUUUAAAAAAAGUAGUGCCUAGGAGAAAAUGUCUAGGUUUUAAACAAACCUUAUCAGGAAAGGAAGCCUGAAAACAAAUGUGCUAAUCAUUUCCAUUAAAAGAAUGGAAAAGUAGAAAGACAGCAAAAGAAAAAAAAAUGUAAAUGAUAGAGACAUGGGCAGAAUUCAGUGAGCUAGAAAACCAAAAAUAGGGAAGAUAAACAAAAUCAAAAUUUGAUUCAAUGGAAGGUUUAAAGAGGUUGAUAGAUCCAUCUGGCAACACUCUUAAGGAAAAUGUAGGUGAUUCACAAUGAAAAGGAAAAACACAGACAUUUUUAAAUGAAAAAGGCUUGUUAUGAGCAAUUCUAUUCCAAUAAAUCUGAAAAUUUAGAUUAGAUGGAUACAUUUCUAGAACAACACAAAGGUAAAAACUACAGGAAGGAAUAGGAACCUGAAAAAUAGAGUAAUGAGCAUCAAAGACAGGCUUGGGAAGCAAAGACUACUUUGCCCUGUCCUAAUGUGCCAGCUAGGGCAUUUCAAAAACAAAUCGUUCCUCUCUUAUACAUGCUGUUCUGGAACACAGAAAAGGAGCAAAAGCUUUCUAAAUCAUUUUCUGGGGCUGGUGCAUCUUUAUUCUCAGAGCCAGCUAUUUUCUCGUAGUACAUGAGAAGAAAAUUAUGGAUUAAUGUCAGCCAUGUCACUGAAUUCAACAAUGUAUUACAAGCAUGAUUCAUUUCGAUCAAAUAAGGUUUAUCCUAGGAUAGUGUUAAGUCCCUGACCAUUAGCUUAUUUUAUUGUAAUGUAAGUGCCGGACAUUAAGCUUUUGAUUGCCAAGGCAUCCAUCUCAAACACAUCCAUUGAAAAGACAAGGGUGUCCUGAUACACAACUAGAUAAAGAGCCAGGUGGCCCCUGCCUGAUGAAGUUCCCCUUUUAGAAAGCCCAGGGUGACCUGGAUAACCACUUGAGUGACCCUGCUUUUCUCUAUCUGCACUUUAUUUUUUUUUUUAAUUUUUAAUGUUUAUUUUUGAGAGAGAGAGAGUCAGAGUCAGAGAGACAGAGUGUGAGUGGGGGAGGGGCAGAGAGAGAGAGGAAGACACAGAAUCCGAAGCAGGCUCCAGGCUCCCAGCUGUCAGCACAGAGCCCCAUGUGGGCCUCAAACCCACAAACUGCGAGAUCAUGACCUGAGCUGAAGCUGGAGGCUUAACCAACUGAACUACCCAAGCACCCCUGCCUUCCUGCACUUUAAUUCCAGCUCUUAUGUUUUAAAUUCACCAACAAAGAGUGACCCUGUGAAAUCAGAGGCACCCCUUCCUCAACCCCAAAAAUGACAGAUCCCCAGGUGUCUCCCUCCCCCCCCAUACCUCACUUUGUGGCUCUGGGCAUGCCAAGUGCCUUCCAGGACUUGUGAGUAAUAAAUUAAUAAACCUUGUUUUUUUCAAAGUUCCCUAAUGGUUGUGGCUGAGGAUUGUCUUGCAGUCAUAAGAACCACAAGGGCCAAUCGGGCCACAACAUUGGCUCCUGUCACUACAAGUAGUAGGGACCCAAGCGAGUGCCCCUAGGCAUUCCUAGCUGAUCACCAUCAUUACUUUAUAUCAGUAGGCUUCGAUCACACAAAAUACCUAGGAAUGCAGUGAAGUUUCAAUGUCAGAAAAUCUAUAAUAUGACCCAAAAAGUCAAUAAACCAAAGAAUAACAUUCAUAUUAACUUCAAAUGAAUUCAACUCAAUACUUGCAUAAACAGAAUUUGAUCAAUUUUACCACAUGGCAAGGAUUAUAAACCAAAAAUCUAUAGCAAAUAUAUCUAUGGAGAAAUUAAAUCCAUUCAUUUUAGGAUUAUGCAAAAGGUAGGAUAUCCUUUAUUAUUACAAAUGUUUAACAUAGUAUUGAAGGUUCUAGACAUCACUUCGACAACAAAAGAAAAUCAAGGCUAUGAAGAUUGUAAGGGAGAGAGAAAAUGGCCAUAGAUGAUGUAAUCUACAUAUUGCAUAAGACGGAGCUCUGGAACCCCAAUGCCCAAAUCCAAAUCCAGACUCUGUACCUUUCAAGCUGUGUGACCUUGGACAGAUUCCUUCACCCUCCUCGUGUCUGCUUCCCGCUCUGUAUGAUGGGGAAAUAAUGGUAUCAACCUCCAAACAUAAAUGAAUACAUAAGAAGCCUAUAGAAUAGAGCUUAGUAAAUAGUAAGCAACUCAACUAAUGUUCUUUAUAACUGUAUUAUUUUAAUCUAGGUCAGUGAUUCUGAAAUGCGAAGUUCUCAAAGAACCCCUGUUGAAGUGUUUCUCCUUCCCACCCACUACCCAUACCAUGUUGCCUCCUCUUUUGCACUGUGUCCCUAGUACCCCCAGCUCUGGGAUAACUCACAGGGGCCCCUGCACCCAGGGAUGUUGUCGGGCCUCCUGGUCUUCAGGAUGAUGGUGCCAGUGAUGAUGCCUGCCACGCCCACCACCAGGCCCAGGGCACAGACCACAGUCUCCAUUGUCUCAGGCACCUCCAUAGGCUCCUGGGCCUCUGGGGCACAAAGGAAAAACAAGAGUUAGAAAGUGCAGAGAGCAGGAGCUGGCCUCAGGUUUGGGGGUAUAAAGAGUUAGAAACAAUGAGAUCACCAGUGAAAUUUGGAUAAAGUGGCAAUAAAACACAUGGGAUUAAGAAAAGCAGGUGCUGUGGAAAGAUGGAUCCUGGAAAUAGAGAGGGUGUCAGGACAGUGCUGACAAAAGGAGGGGGCUCCAUACCCCAGUGCUGAAGGAGUGGCUGGUCCAGGCCCCAGUGCUCCACCUUGCAGUCAUAGACAACUUCAGCCGUGGGAAUGAAGGUCAGGUAGUGGAACUUGUGGAACCUGAAUUCUGUGCUAGGCAGGAAGAUGCUCUCAGCCACACCUUUGGUGACCGUCUUCCCAUUGCACAGCCAUGUGACAUUGAGCACAGGUGGGAAGAACUUGUCCACAUGGCAGAUGAGGGUGUUGGGCUGUCCAAGCUCCACAGGCUCCUUGGGAAACAUGGCCACCUCAGGUGGCUCUGAGAAAGGACAGAACCUGGUGAAUCUGCUGCCUUUGGCUGUAUCUCAAAGGACCCCACCACCCCACCACCUAUAUUCUCCAGGUUAGGGGCCACCUCCCUCAGGCUGACCCUUUGCCCCCCACAGGCUUCCAGGUCAAAGUCAUAGCUUCUCAUACUCCUGACUGGCCUCCUUCAGCCUUCUUUUUCUUGAAUAAGAAGAAAAUGUCUCCUUCGAUGACAUAACCACCCAGCUUUGUGAGCUGAAUACUGUUCACUCACAGGGAGAGAGAGGUUCAUUCAUGAGUGGACGUCCAGGUCUCCCAUUCUCUAUGCAGCAGAUGGGCUCUCCCAUCCCUGCAGUUGGGUAGUAGAGAAAUAAGCAAGAGCAAGCAGUACCAUUUGUGGCCCUGGUGUGGUUGGACCGUUGGAUCAGAGUGUUCAGGUUCUUCUUUGCCGUGACAAUGUCAGCAAUACCCCUCCAAGCAUCAAAGUUGAAGGCACGAAUAAACUCUGGCAGAUGCCAGAUGGUCUCCUUCUUAUCCAGAUCCACAUAGAACUGCUCAUCCUCAUCAAACUCAAACAUGUACUCUCCAGAGGGUCUGUGUGUCUGGACAAACUGGACAUACGUUGACACGUGGCCCACUGCAUGAAGAGGAAGAAGGGAGAUUGAAGAACAGGUGACUAUUGUAAGAAAGUAAACAGAACACAAGAAGCAAGGAAAUAAGGAAAUAGUAAUAACAUGAAUGAAGAACACAGAAAAUGAGAAAUGCAAACUGAAAGAAAAGAAAUGGGAAGAAACAAUGAGAGAUAUGACUUACUGAAAAUUCAGGUUGUUUCCCUUUAUUCUAGAAAAUUUAAGCAUCCAUCACUCCAGUACAAGAAUAAUCACAAUGAACACAAUAAUAAGGUAAUAUUUAUGGAGAACUUACUAUGCAUUCAAUUUAUUCUUUGCAACUUCAUACCCCCAGGUAAAGCAUUCUUUUGCAUAUUAGGGACUUGCCCACAGAGGUUAAGUAACUAGCCCAAGUUAGCACAAUUCAUGCUGAAUGGAAGAUGGAAUCAUCCACUCCAUCCACACCCACAACAUCUCAGAAGCCUUGCAGAAAAGACAUAUAAAGUUAAUGAUAAAGUCACAGAGUGGGGUGGGAGAAAGGGGAGAGUGGAAUAAAAAUCUUCUGGAGUGGAAAAUUUUUUAAAUUGUGAAGGAAAUGAAAAGACGUCCAGAGUCUUGGUGCUACUUACAGACUUCUAGUUACUGUUUUAGCUUUACAUGAUGGUAGAUCAUGUAACCUUGUCCACAACACCUUCAUUUAAGGCAUUUUAAAUUUUCAAGUAUUAUCAUUCACACAGCAUUCACAAAUUUUCUUGUUGACUUUAUGUUUUUAAGGGUAGUUUCCACUGGAAAUAAUAGUUGUUGCGUUUGAAACACCUAUGGCAUAGCAUCUUAGUUUUACCUGAUGUGUAAGAAACAACAAAAAGUUAUACAAUAACAAAAAAUCUAUUGGUAUUACAGUAAAACAAUAAAAAUGAGACAGUUUGGGACUAAGAAAAGGAAUUAGGAGGAAGUGACGCUCCAGGGCUCACUGGUCUAGCAUCCGAAUCAAAGAUUCAAAGAUUAUCCCUGCAGCUCCAACACAAGAACUAAUCCUCUCCUUGGAUGCUUCUAGUGACAGGAUUCAUUGUCUCAUGCAAAUGCUUGGGGACAUCCACUGAAUUUAGUGGCUACAAAAUCCUCACCUACAGAAAAGAAGAUAAAAGAAAAAGAAAGAAGAAAA